UAGGAGGGGGGCUGGCAGAGAGCUGUUACUUACCUUUCCUGCAGCUCCUGUCAGCUCCCUUCUCUCUCCUCCGGUCCGGUCAGCUCCCUUCUCCUCCACUGUAAGUCUUGCGGCCGCGCAGAGCGUUCCCUGCGGCUCUCGCGAGAUUUACAAUGGGAGCUGACCGGACCGGAGGAGAGAGAAGGGAGCUGACAGGAGCUGCAGGAAAGGUAAGUUACAGCU
rnacentral:sRNA from 1 species